rnacentral:rRNA from 1 species
UGAGGAAUAUUGGUCAAUGGGCGAGAGCCUGAACCAGCCAAGUCGCGUGAAGGAAGACAGUCCUAAGGAUUGUAAACUUCUUUUAUACGGGAAUAACGGGCGAUACGAGUAUUGCAUUGAAUGUACCGUAAGAAUAAGCAUCGGCUAACUCCGUGCCAGCAGCCGCGGUAAUACGGAGGAUGCGAGCGUUAUCCGGAUUUAUUGGGUUUAAAGGGUGCGUAGGUUGUUCGGUAAGUCAGCGGUGAAACCUGAGCGCUCAACGUUCAGCCUGCCGUUGAAACUGCCGGGCUUGAGUUCAGUGGCGGCAGGCGGAAUUCGUGGUGUAGCGGUGAAAUGCAUAGAUAUCACGAGGAACUCCGAUUGCGAAGGCAGCUUGCCAUACUGCGACUGACACUGAAGCACGAAGGCGUGGUUAUCAAACAGG